rnacentral:sRNA from 1 species
AAACAUACUUAAUAAUUAAAACCAUAAAUAAAACUGAAAAUUCAAAAAUAAAUAAAUUUUGUAAGAAAAAGCUUAAUACUUUAUGCAUUUGGUACAUCACCAAAAAUUGCAUCAAGUAGUGUGAUAAACUGUAAAUAACGUUGAACUCGCGGGUUUUCCGGAUUGCCUCUAUACAUAUGAUAAAGUUUCUUCAAGAUAUCCAAACGAUUUUUAACACAUCUCCAACUCAAAUUUUUUCCAAACGUUAAUAUUCUUAAGAAUAUUUUCUUUUUGAACAUCACUUAGAAAUCUGAUUUUGGGGUCUUUGCAUUCUUCCGUUUAUUUCUCCACAAUAACCCGUUGAAGUAACGCAAAUGUGGUCUCGUUUGACCAAAUGAUUUUCUAAUCGAGAAAACAAAUCAAAACAUGUAUUCAAUCAAAAAACUUAAAAAACAACAAAAUAAAAAAAAACGAUGCCAUGAAAUAUUCCGAGAAUUACACUAGCUAAUGAAUGGAUGAAAGGAUAGAUCAUACUUACGUUUGAUUCUUGAUUUUGACUUUGAUUUUUGUCAGUUUGGGUGGAUGCCAUAAUUGAGAGAAUAGGGUUUCAUUGAUUAGGGUUUUCUGAUAAGAAUAAGUAUAGGGUUUGGGUGGAAGACAUAAUUAUUUUAAUUAAUUAAUUAUUAUUAUUUUUAAUCUAACCGCUACCGCCCGCAACCGCAAACGCUUGCGGGAAGGAGCUUUUGAAAUCUGGCGAUUUCGAGCGGUACAAAGCGAUAUCUAGCGGUUUCUAUGAUUAGUGCCAACCGCUAAUAACCGCUACCACCUGCAAACGCAGCGUUUGCGGGUGACAGAGGGAGAACCAAUCAAACCCUAAGUACUUUUUGCUCAUACGGAUCUUCCUAAUUUAGAUUCGAAAGAGA